rnacentral:misc_RNA from 1 species
UACGAAGGGUGCAAGCGUUAUUCGGAUUAAUUGGGCGUAAAGGGUGCGUAGACGGUAUGUUAAGUCUGUUGUUAAAGACCCCGGCCUAACCGGGGAAAAGCGGUGGAUACUGAUGUACUUGAGGAUGGAAGAGAGAAGUGGAAUUCUUGGAGUAGCGGUAAAAUGCGUAGAUCUCAAGAGGAACACCGAUGGCGAAGGCAGCUUCUUGGUCCAUAUCUGACGUUGAGGCACGAAAGCGUGGGGAGCAAACAGG